CAGCCCUGUGAAGGUGAGCAAAUCCCAAAAAUAACGUCCCAGUUCGGAUUGUAGUCUGCAACCCGACUACAUGAAGCUGGAAUCGCUAGUAAUCGCGGAUCAGAAUGCCGCGGUGAAUACGUUCCCGGGUCUUGUACACACCGCCCGUCACACCAUGGGAGUCGGAAAUGCCCGAAGCCGGUGACUCAACCUUUAAGGAGAGAGCCGUCGAAGGCAGGUCUGAUAACUGGGGUGAAGUCGUAACAAGGUACC
rnacentral:rRNA from 1 species